UGACAACGUUCAAAUGUAUGAAUAAGAGAUAAAUGCUACAUAUCACUCAACACAGAUGGACUGGAAAAUGGGCACCGCAUCGCAUAUUGGAACACUGGGAAAUUUAAUGGGUUAAGAAUUGGUUGGUUAACACAGCCCGUGUUUCCUCCUUUGGUACAGUGAAAACACGAUUUUAAUGUAAAAAGUAUCUUUCUUUUAAAGAAAGCCAUACGAUUGGACUAUUUCUGCAAUCCUCCUGAUUGGCCACAUGGCAUUUGCAGCACAGGAGACAGGCUCCCAAAUAUCAAUUCCGGAGGAAAAAUAGGAUCCAUCGGCAGACAAAAUCAUUUUCUGAGGAAGUAGAUUAUAGUGUCACGGAGGUACAACGAUGGUUCGUCAUGGAUGAAGCACCCUGAAGUCCCAUGUAAACACCGUGAUACAUGGAUAUGAGAGCAAGACCAUCCUUUAGAUCCUGCUUGGCAUUCUCACUGACCUGGGAACGGUAGGACGAACAGUUGGGAAUCAGUCACAGACAUUGAGAUCUGAUAUAUACAAACAGUGGAUUAACAUCACAGCUCAGAAGAACAAGAAAACAGCGUACCCAGGAAAUUCAGACAUUUU